rnacentral:rRNA from 1 species
UUUGUCCUACGGGACGCAGCAGUGGGGAAUAUUGCACAAUGGGGGAAACCCUGAUGCAGCGACGCCGCGUGAGUGAAGAAGUAUUUCGGUAUGUAAAGCUCUAUCAGCAGGGAAGAAAAUGACGGUACCUGACUAAGAAGCCCCGGCUAACUACGUGCCAGCAGCCGCGGUAAUACGUAGGGGGCAAGCGUUAUCCGGAUUUACUGGGUGUAAAGGGAGCGUAGACGGCGAAGAAAGUCUGAAGUGAAAGCCCGCGGCUCAACCGCGGAAUGGCUUUGGAAACCUUUUUGC